UGUGGGAGCGGGCUUGCUCGCGAAAGCGGUGGUUCAGUUGGAGUAUCCUUGACUGACACACCGCUUUCGCGAGCAAGCCCGCUCCCACA
rnacentral:misc_RNA from 1 species